rnacentral:rRNA from 1 species
CUACGGGACGCUGCAGUGAGGAAUAUUGCACAAUGGGGGGAACCCUGAUGCAGCAACGCCGCGUGGAGGAUGACGCAUUUCGGUGUGUAAACUCCUUUUAUAUGUCAAGAAAAUGACGGUAGCAUAUGAAUAAGCACCGGCUAACUCCGUGCCAGCAGCCGCGGUAAUACGGAGGGUGCAAGCGUUACUCGGAAUCACUGGGCGUAAAGGACGCGUAGGCGGGUUGGAAAGUCAGGUGUGAAAUCCUACAGCUUAACUGUAGAACUGCACUUGAUACUUCUAAUCUAGAGUAUGGGAGGGGGAGAUGGAAUUAGUGGUGUAGGGGUAAAAUCCGUAGAUAUCACUAGGAAUACCUAAAGCGAAGGCGAUCUCCUGGAACAUUACUGACGCUAAGGCGUGAAAGCGUGGGGAGCAAACAGGAUUAGAUACCCUUGUAGUC